UUUCAUACCAAGUUCAUCAUUUCCCUGAAAGUGAGGGCAGGUCCUUUUGCAUCUGUUCAAACAAAAGACCCAGACACCAGCUGGUCAGGAGCUUGCCUGCUUCUGGGUGUUGGGUCUGUCUCUUCCCCUUUGCUUUUAGAUGGGUACAACUAUGGGAGCACCAACUACAACCUGUCCCUGAAGAGUUGAGUCGCCGUCAGUAGACACGUCCAAGAACCAGUUGUCCCUGAAGCUGAGCUCUGUGACCGCCGCGGACACGGCCGUGUAUUACUGUGCGAGAGACACAGUGAGGGGAGGUGGGUGUGAGCCCAGACACAAACCUCCCUGCAGGGAGGCGGAGGGGGCGGGCGCAGGUGCCGCUCAGGACCAGCAGGGGGCGCGCGGGGACCACAGAGCCCGAGGCCGGGUCAGGAGCAGGUGCAGGGAGGGCGGGGCUUCCUCAUCUGCUCGGUGCUCUCCCUCCUCGCCAGCACCUCAGCUGUCCCCAGGGCUCCUCUUUCUUUGAUAUCUGUGGUUCUACUUCC